GGAGAAAUUUGAUUGUUUAACUUCCAAUGAUGGUUAUUUUCUUAUAUGCAAUGAAAUGUUAUGUGAAUUUUUUUCUAUAGAACUGGACAGGAUAAAACUUUACUCAUGCCAAGUAUUUCUUUAUUUGAAACAAGGAUAAAUUCUGCACAUUUUUUUGAAAAGUGCAAAUUUAACAAAGACUAAUAGGGGAAAAUCAAUGGUGGUAUUACACCU
rnacentral:lncRNA from 1 species